ensembl:antisense Gm16541 predicted gene 16541
GGAACCUGAGCAGCACUGACUUCUGAGGAAGACUGAGAUGGAGACACCCGCCAGUGUCCUGUCGCUCCCGCAGUCUGAACUUCCCAACAGUCCAUGUCCUUUGGUUUAAAAAGUCUUUGUAAAGGGAGAUGACCCAGACAGUGAAGUACUACUUGGCGUAACAACACGAGGAUCUGAGUUCAAACUGAAGCACCGUGAGAAUGAAGAAAAAAGCUCUGUCUUGUGGCCUGCAACCUCAGGGACAGGGAAGCAGACGGAAGGAGCCCAGCCAGUCUAGCAAAACAACAAGCUCAAGGUUCAAGCCUACAAACAGAAGUGAAGCAGUGGUGGGGCAGCAUCAAUAAAGGUAGCAGAGGAAAGAAAGAAAAAGGAACCAUCGGCUACUAAAGGUGUCACAUUAAAUGUCACAGGGACUGUGUU